rnacentral:lncRNA from 1 species
CACGAACCAAAAACCGAUAGGAACCAAAAGGAAAUAAACAUACCCACUAUUAGAGCUGGAAACUGCAACAUUUGCCUCUUAGUAACCAAUACUACAAAAAUUGAGAAAAUCAAUAAGUUUAUAGAAGACCUGAAUAAUACUAUCAACCAGCUUGACAAUAAGUGACAAUAUGCACUAUUUGGUUUUCUGUUCCUGCAUUAAUUUGCUUAGGAUAGUAGCCCCUAGCUGCAUCUACGCUGCUGCAAGGAAAUUACUUUGUUCUUUUUCAUGACUGCAUAGUAUUCCAUGAUGUGUAUGUACCACAUUUUCUUUAAUCCACUAUUGAUGGAUAUCUAGGUUCAUUCCAUGU